rnacentral:misc_RNA from 1 species
UUUCCGUAGGUGAACCUGCGGAAGGAUCAUUACUGAAGUGAGUCUUCAUCAUUGAAGCUUCUUCCCAUUGUGCUGGCUUUGACCGUAUGUAAUGUUGGGGAUUAAACUGGUUGAAAUCUAUUUUAGCCGUCCCCAACAAUUUAUCUUAUCCUUUAUUAAAUUGAACUGAACUCAUUUUGAGAUUACAUAAAAAAUAAUCUUUUAAUACAACUUUCAACAACGGAUCUCUUGGUUCUC